CCUACGGGUGACUGCAGUGGGGAAUAUUGCACAAUGGGGGAAACCCUGAUGGAGCGACGCCGCGUGAGUGAAGAAGGAUUUCGGUAUGUAAAGCUCUAUCAGUAGGGAAGCAAAUGACGGUACCUGACUAAGAAUCCCCGGCUAACUACGUGCCAGCAGCCGCGGGAAUACGUAGGGGGCAAGCGUUAUGCGGCUUUACUGGGGGUAAAGUGAGCGUAGACGGCGAGACAAGUCAGAAGUGAACGCCCUGGGCUCAACCCUGGGACUGCUUUUGAAACUGCCGGGCUUGAGUGCAGGAGAGGUAAGUGGAAUUCCUAGUGUAGCGGUGAAAUGCGUAGAUAUUAGGAGGAACACCAGUGGCGAAGGCGGCUUACUGGACUGUAACUGACGCUGAGGCUCGAAAGCGUGGGGAGCAAACAGGAUUAGAUACCCCAGUAGUC
rnacentral:rRNA from 1 species